AUCCGGGUUGCGGACAGUGUCUGGUGGGUAGUUUGACUGGGGCGGUCUCCUCCUAAAGAGUAACGGAGGAGCACGAAGGUUGGCUAAUCCUGGUCGGACAUCAGGAGGUUAGUGCAAUGGUAUAAGCCAGCUUGACUGCGAGCGUGACGGCGCGAGCAGGUGCGAAAGCAGGUCAUAGUGAUCCGGUGGUUCUGAAUGGAAGGGCCAUCGCUCAACGGAUAAAAGGUACUCCGGGGAUAACAGGCUGAUACCGCCCAAGAGUUCAUAUCGACGGCGGUGUUUGGCACCUCGAUGUCGGCUCAUCACAUCCUGGGGCUGAAGUAGGUCCCAAGGGUAUGGCUGUUCGCCAUUUAAAGUGGUACGCGAGCUGGGUUUAGAACGUCGUGAGACAGUUCGGUCCCUAUCUGCCGUGGGCGCUGGAGAAUUGAGGGGGGCUGCUCCUAGUACGAGAGGACCGGAGUGGACGCAUCACUGGUGUUCGGGUUGUCAUGCCAAUGGCACUGCCCGGUAGCUAAAUGCGGAAGAGAUAAGUGCUGAAAGCAUCUAAGCACGAAACUUGCCCCGAGAUGAGUUCUCCCUGACUCCUUGAGAGUCCUGAAGGAACGUUGAAGACGACGACGUUGAUAGGCCGGGUGUGUAAGCGCAGCGAUGCGUUGAGCUAACCGGUACUAAUGAACCGUGAGGCUUAACCUUACAACGCCGAAG
rnacentral:rRNA from 1 species